rnacentral:lncRNA from 10 species
GUGCGGCCGGCGGGGGACAGGGAAAGAGAUCACAGCGAAGACCCAGAAGAAACAAAAGAUUUUUAUAUCCAACUGCCUACUGGACACCAACCACGUGGACAAGUCCUGGUUGCCUCAAACUCAACAUGUUCAAAGCUGAAUACAUCACCUGCUCUCCCAAAUAUGCUCCUCUCCUGCUGUUCCCAAAAUCAGAAAAUGGCUUCACGAUCAGCUCAGUCAUCUCAAGAGCAAAUGCUGAGAGUCACCCUUGAAUCCUUCUGUUGCCUCCACAUUCAAACCAUCACCAUAUCCUUGAUUUCUCUACUGUAUAUUUUUCAUAUGUGUCCACUUCUUUCCAUCUGCACUCUCAUUAGUGAAGGCCACCAACAUCUCUCAUCUGAAUGCCUGCAAUACCUCCUCACAGGUCACCAGGCAUCUAGUUUUGCCCCUGUCCUGCCCUUCCCUCAUCUAGAGUGAAGCCAGUAGGAACCUUCCAAAAUGAAAAUCUGAUUAAGUCACUUCUUUGCUUAAAACUUUUUUAUGGUUUCACAGCCCAUGAAAAUAGUAUCCAAUGUCUUUAAGUGCAUUGCAAAACUCUUCAAGGCCUCCCUCUCCAAUCCUUCUAGUCCUCCCUCCCCAGUUUCAUCACUCAUUAUAUACCCCAUAACCUUUAUGCCAGAGUUGUCAUGAACCUCCUCCCAUUCCUUCAGUAUUUUAUGUCUUUUUGCCUUCAGGUCUUUACACAUGUUGUUCCUUCAUAUUGAAAUAUUCUUUCCUCUCCCCAUUGCCUGGUAGAUUAACUCCUGUUUAUCCUUCAGAUGUCAGCCUUAAUGUCACUCUCUCAAGGUGAACAUCCCUGAAUUCUCUGAUGCAUUACAUAGGAUACCGUUUUUAUUCUGCCAUUGUAUGUGUCACCCUUUAUUGUUAAGAAACAUUUAAAUAAGAAAUAUUUAAUUGUUAAUAAACAGUUUUAAAUAAAAAAUAUUUAUUU